rnacentral:misc_RNA from 1 species
AUUGCCUCAAGUAGUCAUCCAAAUGCUGCUGGAAUCCCUCUUAGUAAUACAGCAGUCGAGGUGCAACAGUACAAUGAAGCAGUUCCAGUUCAGGCAUCCAAUGAAGUAAAGCCAAGUCUUAGUGGUAAUGCAUCCCUUAAUCCAUCCCAGAAUCUAUUAGCAAAUACUAGGAUGCUGCCUCCUGGAAAUGCUCAAGCCUUGCCAAUGUCCCAAGGUCUCUUGUCUACAGUUCCAAUGCCUACAAGACCACAUCAGCUAGACCCACAACCAUUGCUUCAGCAGCAACCACCACCACAGCUGCAGCAGCAACCACAACAGCAGCAGCAGCAAAAUCAGCAUUCCUUGAUUCAACAGCAUUCACAGUUCCAGAGGUCACCAAUGGUGCUUCCAUCUA